rnacentral:rRNA from 1 species
AGAGUUUGAUCAUGGCUCAGGACGAACGCUGGCGGCGUGCCUAAUACAUGCAAGUCGAGCGCAUGACGAGGAGCUUGCUCCUCUGAUUGAGCGGCGGACGGGUGAGUAACACGUGGGCAACCUGCCCUGUAGACGGGGAUAACUUCGGGAAACCGGAGCUAAUACCGGAUAAUCCUCUUCCCCACAUGGGGAAGAGUUGAAAGGCGCUUUCGCGUCACUACAGGAUGGGCCCGCGGUGCAUUAGCUAGUUGGUGGGGUAACGGCCUACCAAGGCGACGAUGCAUAGCCGACCUGAGAGGGUGAUCGGCCACAUUGGGACUGAGACACGGCCCAAACUCCUACGGGAGGCAGCAGUAGGGAAUCUUCCACAAUGGACGAAAGUAUGAUGGAGCAACGCCGCGUGAGUGAUGAAGGUUUUCGGAUCGUAAAACUCUGUUGUAAGGGAAGAACCAGUACGUCAGGCAAUGGACGUACCUUGACGGUACCUUAUUAGAAAGCCACGGCUAACUACGUGCCAGCAGCCGCGGUAAUACGUAGGUGGCAAGCGUUGUCCGGAAUUAUUGGGCGUAAAGCGCGCGCAGGUGGUUUCUUAAGUCUGAUGUGAAAGCCCACGGCUUAACCGUGGAGGGUCAUUGGAAACUGGGAGAC